AGUGAACGCUGGCGGUAGGCCUAACACAUGCAAGUCGAACGGCAGCACAGGAGAGCUUGCUCUCUGGGUGGCGAGUGGCGGACGGGUGAGGAAUACAUCGGAAUCUGCCCAGUCGUGGGGGAUAACGUAGGGAAACUUACGCUAAUACCGCAUACGACCUUCGGGUGAAAGAGGGGGAUCGCAAGACCUCUCGCGAUUGGAUGAGCCGAUGUCGGAUUAGCUAGUUGGCGGGGUGAUGGCCCACCAAGGCGACGAUCCGUAGCUGGUCUGAGAGGAUGAUCAGCCACACUGGAACUGAGACACGGUCCAGACUCCUACGGGAGGCAGCAGUGGGGAAUAUUGGACAAUGGGCGCAAGCCUGAUCCAGCCAUACCGCGUGGGUGAAGAAGGCCUUCGGGUUGUAAAGCCCUUUUGUUGGGAAAGAAAUCUUUCAGGCUAAUACCCUGGGAGGAUGACGGUACCCAAAGAAUAAGCACCGGCUAACUUCGUG
rnacentral:rRNA from 1 species